rnacentral:lncRNA from 1 species
AGGUUGGCAUCCCCUUCCUUUUUUAGUAUUUGCUUUCAUCCAUUUUACACGUGUGUUUCCUCUCCUCUGCCUGCCUUGCCAGUGAAGCGAUGAUUAUUUUGGGGCAUUGCCUGGGUGAGGUGUAGUGUACCUCAGACUGGCUGUGGUGCUUAUCUUCUGGUUCAGAGACGAAAACAAGUGCAGGAGAAUGGGCUAAGUUUUUAAUCAUCUUCCUUAAUGAUCCCCAGUCUUUCUUAUGUUUCUCAGUGUUCUGAAGACCAUCCAUCAGCUGUCAAGGAACAGGAAUACCCUGAAGGAAGGCCAGACCAGGGGUCUAGAAUAGCCUCCAUCUCCCGUUUGCCAGUUAAGUCCCUUCGUGUCCCAUGCCUGGUUUCUUCAGGUUCAACCUAAUUUCUUUCUGUCCCUGGGGCUUUGCAGUUUUGCUCAUUUUCCUCCCUGAAUUAGGUCUUGUUCUUUGGACAGAAGUAAAACAUAAUAUUUUGUCCCAAGGAAAAAAGUAGUACCACUGGAUUUGAAGGCUUUUGGCUUCCAGCUUUGUAUUUAGAAGCAGAAGACAGUUGGGAAUCUGAAUUAAAUUACACCUCAGUUUAAAAAUCAAAGGAAUAACUGUUUAGGAGCCAAAUGCACUUUGGGUUAAAUCAGUUCAAAGCAUCAGAAAAAUCAUUAGAAAUAUUUGAAGAGGACAGCAGGUGGAUCGGUUUGCAUUUCUUAACCUGUGUCAUUUGAUGUUUUGCUUCCACAGGGAAGCAUGAGGAAUUUCACUGCCUUCCAGCAAUUAAAUUGCAUUCAAGAAUUCUACAGUAGCCUUGGUGGUCUGCAACAACAUUUCAGGGAUUAGAUGCUCUAUCUCCUGUCUAGCAAAGGCCCUUUCAUCUGGACCAGCCCCCACCUGCAACGGCCCCCCAGCAUGCAUUCCCUCUCCCUCAGUCCCUUUCUUUCCUCCUCCCUUUGGACAACAGACAAUAAGAAAUGUAGCAAAAGGCGGAAAUAUGCAGAGAUACAAGCUCAUGAAAAGGAGCACAUGGAAGGUAAUAAAUUAAAUGCCACCCAGCAAGGGUAGGGAGCCUGAGUGUGGAAAGAUGGCAGGGAGUAAGAGGCAGAUCACACAAAGCAGGGCACUAGAGCAAGGGGUGGGAGAGAGUGAGCCUGCAGCUGGACUUCUGGGGAUAGAGGCCGAGCCUGCUGCUGAAGUCACUGUGCCCUCCUGAUGGGUCCUCUGUACCAAGCUGGCCAUCCUCCGAGGGCUGCCACAGCGCUUUCUCUUCUGGCCGGAGCCCUCACUCAUGGAGGUGGAGAGGAUUUGAUUAAUUGGGGGAGAUCUCUUUCACACAGAGAGCCAGCUGCUGGUGAGGGCUGAGCUCUUCAAGGGUGAGGACGCCCAGUGUCCAGGGCUGGCCCUUCCUCCCCGCCCUCCAUGCCCUCCCCUGCCCACAGACCCCAUGCUCAGGUGCCUACAAAUGCACUCACUCAUGAAGAUUCUUUUCCCCAGUCCUGGUGCAAAACUCCAUUUCUUUCUUUCCUGGGGUAAUUGUAUAAGCCCUGGAAAUGAGACUUUUUGGAUGAAAUGGUGCUUUAUUUGUUGGAAAACAGGGUGUGAUGAUUGAGGUUGGAUUAAGUGGGCAGAGGGUGGGAUCUUUCCAGCCCUGGGGCCUUUGACGUAGACAAGUACUUCCUAUAAGCUGUCAAGUGAGAGCGAAGCGAGAGAGAUCAGGCUGGGAGCGGGGAAGGGUGGUUCCUCUCACUCAGCCUCCUCCGGUGUCCCCUCUGACCUCACUGGGCACAGAAGCACCCUCAGCUCUCCAGCCCCUUCAUUCCCCUUCUUAACAGCUCUGCUCCACGGACAGGCUUGGGACUUCAGGGCUUCCCCCUUUUCAGGACAAAUGCAUCAUCUGGGGUGCUUAGCAGGGGGCUCCCCACAUUGCUCAGCUCAUUAAAAGAAAGCCUUGCCUUCAAGUGGCACAGGUAAUGAAGCAUUGCGGGGUGCCUGCCGGCUCUAAUAAGACGGAAUGAACUGAGGGGGAGAAUUAACCUGGUAGGAUUAGUUCACUCUGCAGCAAGAUGCUUGGAAUCGCCUCUUAAACCCCGUGCCGGGAAUCUUAAAUACACUCCUUUCUCAGGAGGGGCACUGGCUGGGGAGGAGGGCACCGGGCUGAGCUAGACAAGACAGGCAGGGCUGCAGGCAGGGGCUGAGCUCUCUGCCAGGGAGUGGCCAGUUUUCUUCCCAGGCCAUGCCUGAGAGUGCUGGGCUGCACCGUAACUGCACAGAUCUGUCUGUCCAACCCAAACGGAUGGUCCAGGCUGUGCCAGGGUUGAUAGGGGAUGGGAGAAGGCAGCUAACCCUUUCAUGGCCAUGCUCUACUUGGUGAUACAAGGGUGGCAUGGGUCUGGGACAGAUGCCCACGUUUGAAAUUGCAGACUUUGGGCUUGCCAGUUCUGGUCACAGGAAGAAAUGGAAAGAACAGAAGGAACACAAAGCCAUGAGACGAAAGGCAUCGGCAUUCGAAAUUCAGCUGUGAGCCUACCCCUUGCCAGGUCUGUGCUGGGUGCUAUGGUGGAGCCAUGAGUAAGGCACGUCCACUGCCUUGAGAUGCUCCUGCACCGCAGGAGAGAUGAGUGUGCAACCAAUGGCAGCGCUAGUUAUGUGGCCAACGAUGGACACUUGUGCUCGAGGACUCGACAAAUUCUGCCCGGCUAAGGGAUAGGAAAGGGCUCAG